rfam:Desulfitobacterium hafniense Y51 DNA, complete genome.
CAGACAAUAUCUAAAGGAGUUGUACUGGAGAAAGAUCGUUCAGGCCAUAAGGAACCUUGGUUUAAAAUUAUAGAAAAACAAAAUUGAAUUGGCUUUUGAGAGUACCGCUUGGAUCAUUAUGACCGAGACGGAGAA